rnacentral:rRNA from 1 species
UAACGUAGGGAGCAAGCGUUGUCCGGAAUCAUUGGGCGUAAAGCGCGCGUAGGCGGCCCUGUAAGUCCGUUGUGAAAGUCAAAGGCUCAAACCUUUGAAAGCCGAUGGAUACUGCAGGGCUAGAGUCCGGAAGAGGCGAGUGGAAUUCCUGGUGUAGCGGUGAAAUGCGCAGAUAUCAGGAGAACACCCGUGGCGAAGGCGGCUUCCUGGGACGGUACUGACGCUGAGACG